rnacentral:rRNA from 1 species
UUGACCUCGAAUCAGGUAGGGAUACCCGCUGAACUUAAGCAUAUCAAUAAGCGGAGGAAAAGAAACCAACAGGGAUUACCUCAGUAACGGCGAGUGAAGCGGC